AGCGAACGCUGGCGGCAGGCUUAACACAUGCAAGUCGAGCGGGCACUUUCGGGUGUCAGCGGCGGACGGGUGAGUAACGCGUGGGAACGUGCCCUCUGGUUCGGAAUAACUCAGGGAAACUUGAGCUAAUACCGGAUACGCCCUUUUGGGGAAAGGCUUGCUGCCGGAGGAUCGGCCCGCGUCUGAUUAGCUUGUUGGUGAGGUAACGGCUCACCAAGGCGCCGAUCAGUAGCUGGUCUGAGAGGAUGAUCAGCCACACUGGGACUGAGACACGGCCCAGACUCCUACGGGAGGCAGCAGUGGGGAAUAUUGGACAAUGGGCGCAAGCCUGAUCCAGCCAUGCCGCGUGAGUGAUGAAGGCCUUAGGGUUGUAAAGCUCUUUUAUCCGGGACGAUAAUGACGGUACCGGAGGAAUAAGCCCCGGCUAACUUCGUG
rnacentral:rRNA from 1 species